rnacentral:rRNA from 1 species
GUGGGGAAUCUUGCGCAAUGGGCGAAAGCCUGACGCAGCCAUGCCGCGUGAAUGAUGAAGGUCUUAGGAUUGUAAAAUUCUUUCACCGGGGACGAUAAUGACGGUACCCGGAGAAGAAGCUCCGGCUAACUUCGUGCCGGCAGCCGCGGUAAUACGAAGGGGGCUAGCGUUGCUCGGAAUUACUGGGCGUAAAGGGCGCGUAGGCGGACAGCUUAGUCAGAGGUGAAAGCCCAGGGCUCAACCUUGGAAUUGCCUUUGAUACUGGCUGUCUUGAGUUUGGGAGAGGUGAGUGGAACUCCGAGUGUAGAGGUGAAAUUCGUAGAUAUUCGGAAGAACACCAGUGGCGAAGGCGACUCACUGGCCCAAUACUGACGCUGAGGCGCGAAAGCGUGGGGAGCAAACAGGAUUAGAUACCCGUGUAGUCC